UCAGUACAAUUAAAGAUGAAAGCUGGAUUUGGAGUUGGAGUGUGAAUCUCUCCCUCUGUAAACCAAGGCAUGCUUGUUAAAGCAAAAUCCAAAAUCUCUGUCUCAUGCCAGAAGAGCCACCUGAUAUGGGACCGAAGAAAAAUUAUUGUAUUACCACUGAUCUCAUAAACCUUUGGUUUUCUUAUGACUCUUUGAAGCUUUGUUAAGGAUGAUGGGGUCUCACAGCGAUGAUUCCGCCAUGACUGUGAUAAUGCCACUAAGCUGAAAAACAUAACCUGAAGAUCAGCUUUGGACUACAAACUUCUUAGGACAAUUUUGAAGUGGCUAGCUGAGAUGAUCCUUUCUCACAGACUGCUCUUGCCAGGACUUGAGACAAGCCAAGCAUUUUCCCAUUAUACAGAGAGUGGAUAACAAAUGAUACAGCUCCUGUAUGGAGUUAGUGGCAACCCUCUCAGAUCCUGCGGCCGAACUGACAUUGUUGGAACAAACACCAAGCUUCAGAACUUGAAUGGAACACAAUCAGACAGACAAUUGGCCAAGAAGAUGGAGAACAAGAAAUUUUCUUAGAACAUCCUGGUUAUGAUUUGUAAGCUUCUGAUCUUGACUCUCAUGGAGAACAGGAGCCAGGGAAGUGCUCUGAUGGAAUAAAAUACCUUCAUUCCCAUUGAAAUCCUCAGAACCUAGUCAUCUCUAAAACAUGUGGUCACAAAAUAACAACACUUAAACUUCUUAACUAUUAUGUUUGUAAUAUAACUAAUAGUUCAGUUAAAAUUCUCAUUUCUAAGUAAGUCAAAUUGUUACACUUUUGCAUCUAUUUUAUUUAUAUUCAAAACAGAAGAUGAUCAGCUUCCUUGUGAAUUAAGUUAACUGAUAAUUUUCAAAUUUAUAUGUGUAGAUAUUUUGUUUGCUUGUAUGUCUUUGAACUACCUGUCUGCCUGAUCCCAGCAGAUGACUGAAGAGAUUGUCAGAUCCCCUGGAACUAGUGUUUCAGAUGGUUCUUAGCCAUCAUGUAGGUGCUGGGAAUACAACUGGGUUCUGUGGAAGGAAAUUCAAUUAUCUGAAUCACUGAGCAAUCUCUCUAUGAUCCAUUAAUUAAUCUUGAGACUUGCUUUCAGUCUAUAGUACAAUCUUGCCUGGAAGUCACUUUAUAGCUCUGUCACUUUGGACUUACGGCAAUCCCUGUGUCUUAGCCUCCUAACUGCUGAGAUUCUAGGCUUGAGCUACCAUGAACAGUGUUGCUUUGUUAUUUUAGGAUGAAAUGAAAUGAAUGUCAAUUAUAACACAAAGCAGUACCAAGAUAACACAAUGAAAAAAAUUAUCAGUAUUUUUCCAUAACAUUUUUUUUAUUUUUAUUAUUGUUAAUUGUUAUUAUUUUCUUUAUUUAUUUUCAUCCUGACCACAAUUUCUCUUCUCUCCUCUCCUCUCAGUCAGUCCUUCCCCACACCUCUCUCUGGUCCCCAAUCCUUUCUUACUCCAUUUGUAUUCAAAAAAGUGCAGGCCUCCCAUGAAUCUCAGCAAAACAUACAUCAUGCUGCCACAAGACUAAGAAACUCUCUUACCCCUUUUAUUAAGGCUGGACAAGGCAAUCCAAUAUAAGGAAGGAGGUCCCAAAAGUUGGCAAAAGACUCAAAGACAGCCCUGCUCCAACUGUUAGGAGUCCCACAAGAAAACCAAGUGACACAACUGUCCCAUAUAUGCAGAGGGCCUGGGUCCAUCCCACCCAGGCUCCCUUGUUAUUGGUUCAAUUUCAGUGAGCUACUAUGAGCUUUGUUAGUUGAUUCUGUGAGUUUUCUUGCGGUGCCCUUAACCCUUCUGGCUCCUACACUUCUUCCUCCCUCUCUUCGGCAGGAUUCUAUUAGCUCUGCCUAAUGUUUGGCUGUGCGUCUCUACAUCUGUUUCCAUCAGUUGCUGGAUGAAACUUCCAUAGCAUUUUCAAUGUAUGAUAGGUGUACAACUUCCUAUUUAUAUAAGCAUGGACAGACAUGUCUAUGAAUGCACAUUUUUGGGUUCUGUGAAACUGAUAGCACAUUAUGCAAAUUUUUUGACAUGUGGUUUUAUUUUAAUGUAAUAGUAACAAGCCAUGAACCAUGGUUAGAAAUAGACAUAGCACAUGUGUUGUAGAAUAUUAGUUUAAGAUGUGUUGCAUUAGUUUAUGCUGUGGAAA